rnacentral:rRNA from 1 species
AGAGUUUGAUCCUGGCUCAGAUUGAACGCUGGCGGCAUGGAUUAGGCAUGCAAGUCGGACGCGAAGCCGUCUUCGGACGGCGGAAAGUGGCGAAAGGGUGAGUAACACGUGAGCAACCUGCCCCCCGGUUCGGAAUAGCCCGCGGAAACGCGGAUUAAUACCGGAUGCCGCGGGGAUGGCCGCCUGGCCGUCCCCGCGAAAGAUUUAUCGCCGGGGGAUGGGCUCGCGCCCCAUUAGCUAGUUGGCGGGGUAACGGCCCACCAAGGCUACGACGGGUAGGUGGUCUGAGAGGACGGCCACCCACACCGGGACUGAGACACUGCCCGGACUCCUACGGGAGGCUGCAGUCGAGAAUCUUCCGCAAUGGGCGAAAGCCUGACGGAGCAAUGCCGCGUGGGGGACGAAGGCCUUCGGGUCGUAAACCCCUGUCAGAUGGGACGAAUUUUGACGGUACCAUCAGAGGAAGCCACGGCUAACUACGUGCCAGCAGCCGCGGUAAAACGUAGGAGGCGAGCGUUAUUCGGAUUUACUGGGCGUAAAGGGUCCGUAGGGGGUCUGCCAAGUCGGCUGUGAAAUGCCGCGGCUCAACCGCGGCACUGCACUCGAUACUGGCGGGCUUGAGUCCGCGAGGGGUGAACGGAAUUCCUGGUGUAGCGGUGGAAUGCGUAGAUAUCAGGAAGAACGCCGAUGGCGAAAGCGGUUCACUGGCGCGGCACUGACCCUGAGGGACGAAAGCGUGGGUAGCAAACAGGAUUAGAUACCCUGGUAGUCCACGCC